GAAAAUAAGACAUGGCUUCAAGACCCAUUGUUCCACAACAAGCCAGAGGUGAGGCAGUCGUAGGAGGAGGAGCGGUUAAGCAACAAAAGAAAGUCAGGGCGGCGGCUGAUGGGAGUAACCACCAUGCACUAGGUGUAUUGGCAAUCGCGUAACUGUUUGAGGAAUCGAUGGCAAGCCUCAACCUCAGAUUACUCGGCCCAUCACCAGGAGUUUUUGCCCUCAAUUACUUGCCAAUGCACCAACUGUGAGAAUAACAAGAAACAAGUUUAUGUUAAUGUGGAUAAGGCGCCUGUUCUUGUUGAGGGACUUCCGGUGGGUAAAAAACCAGUGGCCGCAAAGGCAGCUCAAAAGAAAGUCUUUGUUUUGCAAUAGAGUGAAUACUAGAUGGAGAUUGUGCUAGAGCUCACCUUUUUUCUGCUUUGAAAUAGUUUCUUUUAUUGUUUGGAUACCUGAAUUUUACAAUGAAAUGAAUAUCUGUAUUUGAUAUUGAAGUUUGGGAUUCCUCGGUGCACUCUUGCUAGCUUGCUAGUUUAUAAUGCGAAGGUCUUAAGAGAUGUUCUGUCAGUGAAGAGAGGGCCAAUUGCAGAUGCAUUUGUUAGUUUUCUCUGCUUGCUUUCAAGCCCAACUGAAUGCUCCAUAUUUCUUGUUGUGUCCAGAAUUAGUUAUGGACAUAUGUACCAUUGGGUCAACUCCAGUUAUGGCCUCCAGACUGAUCC